rnacentral:lncRNA from 1 species
CUCAAUAAAGUGGUAAAAUCCAUUAUCUUUAUUCAAAUACAAAAGAAACCUUGAGAUUUUAUGACUCCAUAACGACUUUUACGACUCCUGGCAUUUGAGUCACUUUGGAAAUCCGUCUCAUGCUCCAGCCUCCCUGACCUGUGGCAGGCUCUACCACAUUUCUACAACCAAGCGGCCAGUAAAGAUGAAAGCAAUUCUUUUGUCUGAGGAGCUGGCCAUGGGAGCGUAUCAACCACAGACAUGACCUCAAGCACAGUCUGGGGAAGACUUUGGCCACAGCCCACACUACAAGGCUGUUUACCAAGCCUGCUGGAGCCUCUGAAGGGCAGCAGCCAGCUCACCCCCCAUGCCCUGGAUGGCAACAAGGCACAGGAGACCGCAGAGCAUACAAACAGGGCAAGAGGAAACCAUCUAUCAAUGACCAGGGACCAGAGGAAGCAAAGUUCUAACAUCUCGCUCACGUUCUCCCAAGGCCCAGAGAUGAUACCAGGCAAAGUAAAACCUGGGUUGUGGUGACAGCAGCACUCGUGUCUGACGUCUGAUGCAGACCCUUCCAUGAAGGCAGGUCACUGACUUGCUCUCACCCUCAGCCCCUCUGCAUAUAAUUCUCAGUUUCUCCAGAAAGCAUUUUACCUGUGCUUCAGAGGGACUAUUUAACAAAGACAUUUGCCAUUUUCCACUCCUUCUUUAGCCUCCCUAGGAGAUGCCCGGUGGUAAGUCUAUGAAGCUAACACGGUGCACCCACACCUCCAUCCCUGUCCCUGUCCUGCCACAUGGCUGCCUCUUUUGAGGACUCCACCUGGGUCAUUGAAUAUACUCUGGAGGGCACAGUGAUCUAGCCUUCCCAUUGUUUCUUACUUCUUUUUGCAGCACUGUCUUCCUUAGAAUCAGGCAUAAAAUCAUGGGACUCCAAUGGAAGACUCAGGGGACCCUGACCCACGGCCAGGCAGACAGCCCCUCAUGGGCCCAGAUAACCCUUCAUCCAUAUGAAUUGAACACUGUAAGAUAUCCACAGCUUCAGUUCUCAUAGCUGGGACCUCUGCUUUAUGCCAUAAAGUUUACUGAGAAACAAGCAUUUGUUCACUCUUCUGGGCAGUGGGCACAGUGCUGCAUCUUUAUGAGGCUUUUGUGAGGACUAAAGAGACCCUAUAUGCUCAGUUCAUUAUAAGGGCUUAGCAGGUGCUAUUAACCUUUCCUUCUCACUGAAUCAGGCUGACACCCAGAGGAAGCACAGCCUCCCCUCUGAAGCUUCCUCUACUGCAGUCUCUGUGCUCAUCGCAAGGAUCUCUCCAUAUUGACUUAUAUUUGUUUCUGGUCUUAUAUUUUUCUCUAUGGACAGACUUCUAUUUUCAGAAGAUAGAUAUUUAAGUCACAAUAUUCUGGACUCUGGCUUAGUUAGACCAACCGUCUCUUGAUCGUCUGUGGAAACUGAAUCAGGAACACCCCAGAGAGCUGGCUCUGGAUGUAAUUCACAGCUUCAUUUAAUUAUUAUCAUCAAAGUUAAUGAAGGCCAUAAACUGUUUCAUAACAUACCAAUGGGAAGUGUGAUUGGAGGGAAAGCUGGACACCUCACCAUAAAACUGGCACAGCAGAAACGGCUCGACUUAACAAAACCUUCUUAUGAAGAAAAAGACAAUGAAACCAUGUUCAGUUUAGUGAACCUUUCACACUUGGCAACAUGAAUGUUAAGUCAAAAGAACAAUGGAGCUAUGAGUUUUUUUAAUCAAAUUUUUAUUUUGGGUCAAAUAAGCCAUUUUGUUUGUUUGUUAUUAAGUGUAAAGAGAGCUUUCGGUUAGCUAUUUAGUUAUAACUUUAUCUCACCCACUUCUAAAAAAGCGUUGAGGCUACUUGAAGUAAAGUCCUGUAGACGAGAGAGCGUAACACUAAAAGAUAGAAAGAAAACUUAGAAGAUGGAAGAGAAAUAAUUGCACUAGAAACCUGGCCAAUAUCAUGAACAGGCUCCAUAUAGGGACUCCUGUAUAUAGAUCGCUGUGUGUGUGGAUAGUACGUUCAAUAAAUGUAUUAUCUGAACUGCUUUUAAAGUUCUACUCUUGGAUUCCUGAAAUACUAUCUCUAUGGAUUUGCCUAUUCUGGAUGCUUCAUAUAGAUGGAAUCAUUCAUUACGCAACCCUUUGUAUCUGGCUUCUUUCAUUUAGCAUGAGGCUUUCCAGGUUCAUCCAUAUCAUAAGAAGUAUCAGUAUUUUACUCCACUUUAAAGUUCUGUAAUAGUUACUAUCUAUCUAUUUGGUAUACAUACAUGUAUAUAUUAAUUUUGCUUAUCCAUUUAUUCAUUUAUGAACAUUUGGAUUGUUUCUACCUCUUGGAAUUGUAAAUCAUGCUGUUAUGAACAUGGAU